GAUGAACGCUGGCGGCGUGCUUAACACAUGCAAGUCGAACGUGAGAAUAGCAAUAUUUGAAAGUGGCAAACGGGUGAGUAACACGUGGGAACCUGCCUCGAAGUGGGGGAUAACGAUUGGAAACGGUCGCUAAUACCGCACGGUUCUGCUCUGAUGGGAAUGGAGCAGAUAAAGAUUUAUCGCUUUGAGAGGGGCCCGCGGCCGAUUAGCUAGUUGGUAAGGUAAAGGCUUACCAAGGCGAUUAUCGGUAGCUGGUCUGAGAGGACGAUCAGCCACACGGGAACUGAGACACGGUCCCGACUCCUACGGGGGGCGAGCAGUGAGGAAUAUUGGGCAAUGGGCGAAAGCCUGACCCAGCAACGCCGCGUGGAGGAUGAAGGCUUUAGGGUUGUAAACUCCUUUUGUGGGGGAAAAGAAUGGAUGGUACCCCAAGAAUAAGUCACGGCUAACUACGUG
rnacentral:rRNA from 1 species